rnacentral:rRNA from 1 species
GACGAACGCUGGCGGCGUGCUUAACACAUGCAAGUCGAACGGAAAGGCCCCUUUGGGGGUCCUCGAGUGGCGAACGGGUGAGUAACACGUGAGUAACCUGCCCUUGACUUCGGGAUAACUUCAGGAAACUGGGGCUAAUACCGGAUAGGAAUCCUUGCUGCAUGGUGGGGGUUGGAAAGCUUCGGCGGUUUUGGAUGGACUCGCGGCUUAUCAGCUUGUUGGUGGGGUAGUGGCUUACCAAGGCUUUGACGGGUAGCCGGCCUGAGAGGGCGACCGGCCACAUUGGGACUGAGAUACGGCCCAGACUCCGACGGGAGGCAGCAGUGGGGAAUAUUGCACAAUGGGCGGAAGCCUGAUGCAGCAACGCCGCGGGCGGGAUGACGGCCUUCGGGUUGUAAACCGCUUUCAGCAGGGGCGAAGCUUGUGGUGACGGUACCUGCAGAAGAAGCACCGGCUAACUACGUG